UGGGGAAUAUUGGACAAUGGGCGAAAGCCUGAUCCAGCCAUGCCGCGUGUGUGAAGAAGGUCUUCGGAUUGUAAAGCACUUUAAGUUGGGAGGAAGGGCAUUAACCUAAUACGUUAGUGUUUUGACGUUACCGACAGAAUAAGCACCGGCUAACUCUGUGCCAGCAGCCGCGGUAAUACAGAGGGUGCAAGCGUUAAUCGGAAUUACUGGGCGUAAAGCGUGCGUAGGUGGUUUGCUAAGUUGGAUGUGAAAUCCCCGGGCUCAACCUGGGAACUGCAUUCAAAACUGACUGACUAGAGUAUGGUAGAGGGUGGUGGAAUUUCCUGUGUAGCGGUGAAAUGCGUAGAUAUAGGAAGGAA
rnacentral:rRNA from 1 species